AUUGAACGCUGGCGGCAGGCCUAACACAUGCAAGUCGAGCGGAGCGGCGGACGGGUGAGUAAUGCCUAGGAAUCUGCCUGGCAGUGGGGGAUAACGUCCGGAAACGGGCGCUAAUACCGCAUACUAUCAGAUGAGCCUAGGUCGGAUUAGCUAGUGGGUGGGGUAAAGGACUACAAAGGAGACGAGCCGUAACUGGUCUGAGAGAAUGAUCAGUCAAACUGGAACUGAGAGACGGUCCAGACGCCGACGAGAGGCAGCAUUGGGGAAUAUUGUACAAUGGGCGAAAGCCUGAUCCAGCCAUGCCGCGUGUGUGAAGAAGGUCGUCGGAUUGUAAAGCACUUUAAGUUGGGAGGCGUUACCAACAGAAUAAGCACCGGCUAACUUCGUGCCAGCCGCCGCGGUAAUAC
rnacentral:rRNA from 1 species